CUUGAUGUGGUCUGGGCAGGCACAGGGACACUUCUGGGCGAAGGAUGAGGCGGAGAAGCAGGAUUGGGGAUGCCAGUCAGGUGCUGUUGUUGAAUUUGGGGAAAGCAGAGAUGGAUUACUUGCCAGUGAAUUGUGCUGCAGAAAUGUGGAGACUCCUUGGCUGCCUCUCAGCAAGCCCCUGGAGGGAGGAGCAGAAUAUCCAAGUGUACGCUGGGCAGAGCAGGGGAAGGUGGGUCCAGCAGAGUGAAAUCAGCUUUUCAUCCUUCUCCACGCAUCAGCAGCUGGCAGCUACAUCUUCAGUGCCUUGUCAUGCUGACGGGUCUCCUGCAGGGAUUGCAUAGAUGUGUCCCUGGGGCUGCAGGACAUGCUGGGACUUCCAGAUGAACCUUUCCAGGCAGAAGCAGAGUGGUGUGCUCGCUGUGAUGAGGGAAGAGGCUGGGAGAAGCUCGCAUUUAAUAAAAAAGGCAUCAAGUAA